rnacentral:rRNA from 1 species
UGCCAGCCGCCGCGGUAAUACGAAGGGUGCUAGCGUUGUUCGGAAUUACUGGGCGUAAAGCGCACGUAGGCGGAUUAGUAAGUUAGGGGUGAAAUCCCGGGGCUCAACCCCGGAACUGCCUCUAAUACUGCUAGUCUUGAGUUCGAGAGAGGUGAGUGGAAUUCCGAGUGUAGAGGUGAAAUUCGUAGAUAUUCGGAGGAACACCAGUGGCGAGGGCGGCUAACUGGACUGAUACUGACGCUGAGGUGCGAAAGUGUGGGGAGCAAACAGGAUUAGAUA